AGUGAACGCUGGCGGUAGGCCUAACACAUGCAAGUCGAACGGCAGCACAGUAAGAGCUUGCUCUUACGGGUGGCGAGUGGCGGACGGGUGAGGAAUACAUCGGAAUCUACUUUUUCGUGGGGGAUAACGUAGGGAAACUUACGCUAAUACCGCAUACGACCUACGGGUGAAAGCAGGGGAUCUUCGGACCUUGCGCGAUUGAAUGAGCCGAUGUCGGAUUAGCUAGUUGGCGGGGUAAAGGCCCACCAAGGCGACGAUCCGUAGCUGGUCUGAGAGGAUGAGAAGGCAAAACUGGAAAGAGAAACGGGUCAAAAAACCAAGGGGAGGAAGGAGGGGGAAAAAUGGGAAAAGGGGCGAAAGCCUGAACCAGCAAAACCGGGGGGGGAAAGAAGGCCUUGGGGUGGAAAAGCCUUUUUGUUGGGAAAAAAAAGAAGCAGGUUAAAACCCCGCUGCUGUGAGGGAACCAAAAGAAAAAGCACCGGCAAACUUGGG
rnacentral:rRNA from 1 species